UACGGAGGAGGCAAGCAUUAUCCGGAAUUAUUGGGCGUAAAGCGUCCGUAGGUGGUUUAGUAAGUCUGCUGUUAAAGCGCGGGGCUUAACUCCGUAUCGGCAGUGGAAACUACUAGACUAGAGUGUGGUAGGGGUAGAGGGAAUUCCCAGUGUAGCGGUGAAAUUCGUAGAUAUUGGGAAGAACACCGAUGGCGAAGGCAGCCAUCUGGACCGACACUGACGCUGAGGCGCGAAAGCGUGGGGAGCGAACAGG
rnacentral:rRNA from 1 species